ensembl:snRNA
AUGUUGUACAAAAAAAGAAAAAUUCAGCACUCCCUGUCAAGAAUGGAAGAAAUGUUCACCUAACAGCAUGCAUACAGUUAAAGAUCUGCCACUUGUUUUGUUGCAUCUGAUCACGUUCCAUA